GCGUCUUCCACGCGGCGCUGUGUGUCAUCCACGCAGUGUGCUCUCGCUGCCGUGUUCAGGUCACUGCGAGGGUGAGCCCCGCUUUAUCUACCCCUUCUGCUGUUGAUGGGCACUCGUCUGGGGCUAGAAGGGAUAAGGUUGCUGUGAGCGUUCUCGUGUGUUUUUGGUGCACGCGCACACACAUUUCUCUGGGGUGCAGACCUGUCUAGUAGUGGAACUGCCGUUUCCCAGCACUUUGGAGCAAAGCCCUGUUGCAGUCUGAAGCGGAAAAGGCAGACGGGCCUUCCAUGUUCGUGAUUCCAGCCAGGCACAGAAGGGAAGGACAGGGACAGCAGCCGCGCGGAGGCGAGGAGGGACACUGGGCGCUGCUGUCCCCUCUCAGGGGCAGCCACUCCUCUUGUGGACGCAGGUGUGGUCACCAGAAGGGAAGGACAGCAGAGGACUCUUCAGGGACCUUCCUGGAUCCCCCUGCAAUGGGAGUGGCCUACUUGCUUGACUUGAGGGUGAGACUUGGUCAGCCCUUGACUGUAGGGGGCAGGACCAUGGGCUUCAGUGGGGCAGCACCCAUGACCCACGCCUCUGCUUCCAUUCCCUGCUUACUGCCCGGGCCUCUGGGCAGGGGAGUCUAGUCUCCCUUCCCAGGCUUCCAAUGCCUCGCCCCCUGCUGUGGUAAGGAUUCGCGCUGGUCCCUAUUUAUUAAUCAGGGAACUUGGGGUUCCAGUUUUCUCCCCUUCUCUGCAUCUCAUCCCCUUGAGAGCCCCCUGGAGCAGAGGAUAACGCACGAGGGGACUGGCUGUGUAUAUUUUGAUAACAAUAUCAAAAUACUGUCAAAUACUAAACGGAAAAGAAAUAGGAAAACAUUGAACUUUAUUAAAAUGAACUUCAAAAGACACCAUUAAGAGUAAAAAGAUGACUCACAAAAAAGUUGCCUUUUGUUCAGUAAACGACUCAGGACCAGAAAAUAUGAAGACCCCUACAACAAGAAAAAUAUAGAUAGCUCAGUUAAAAAUUGACAAAAGACUUGAAAAGAUAUUUCACAAAAGGAGAGAUCCAGACAGUCAAUCCACACACGAAAGGGUACUUAGCAUCAGGGAACUGCAAAUAGUGACAUUCGAUUCCAUAUCACAGCCACUGGAUGGCUAAAAUAGCAACGCCAAGUGCUGAUGAGACUGUGGAACAACCAGCUGGGCUCUCAUACCCUGCUGAUGGGAGAGUGGAUUGGAGCAACCACGUGGAAACAUCUAAUGGAGCCUCUCCUGAGAUGGCAAACAGGAGGUCUGGAUCAAUCCUACAGUGUCGGCAAAUGUCUGGAUUACCCUGCAAGGAAAGGGAGGCAUGACAGCUCCACAUCUGUGUUCACCCUUGUGGAUCCCAGGUGAGACUCCAGAUGAAAUGGGAGAGUUCUCUGACCCCCUCACAGGACAUGUGACAGGAGUGUGGCUAGUCUGUUCAGCCUCCACCACUGCUGAAACACCUUAUGGGAGGGGGAGCAUGCAGAUGGGCAAGCGCAGGUGCCAGGGCCAGCGCUUUUGGGCUUCAACCCCAUGGUGGCAUCUAGGGGUGUGUGUCUGUGACUCCUGAAGCCCCAGUGUGUGUGCUCCAGUGCUCUUUUAGCUCUGCUGUCUGUCAGGCCUCUGAGCCCAAGCUAAGCCAUCAGAUCCCCUGUGACCUGCACGUAUACAUCCAGACGGCCUGAAGCAACUGAAGAACCACAAAAGAAGUGAAAAUAGCCAGUUCCUGCCUUAACUGAUGACAAUCCACCAUUGUGAUUUGUUCCUGCCCCACCCUAACUGAUCAAUUGGCCUUGUGACAUUCCUUCUCCUGGGCAACGAGUCUCAUGAUCUCCCCACCCUGCACCUUGUGAGCCCCGUCCCUGCCCACAAGAGAUAACCACCUUUAACUGUAAUUUUCCACUACCUACCCAAAUCAUAUAAAACUGUCCCACCCCUAUCUCCCUUUGCUGACUUCUUUUUCAGACUCAGUCUGCCUGCACCCAGGUGAUUAAAA
rnacentral:lncRNA from 1 species